GUAGAGCCGGCGGAACCGGGUAGCUUGGCCAGGUUGUGAGGAACCGCAGCGCGCCGCAGGACCGGGCCGCUGAGCCUGCAGCCGCCCCGCGCCGUGACCUGCGACCCUAGACCCCGACUCCCUUUGGCUCAGCCCGCGCGCCCCAGGCCCGGCCCGGGCGGCGCGACGGGAGGAUGAGCGGCGGGCGGCGGAAGGAGGAGCCGCCUCAGCCGCAGCUGGCCAACGGGGCCCUCAAAGUCUCCGUCUGGAGUAAGGUGCUGCGGAGCGACGCGGCCUGGGAGGAUAAGGAUGAAUUUUUAGAUGUGAUCUACUGGUUCCGACAGAUCAUUGCUGUGGUCCUGGGUGUCAUUUGGGGAGUUUUGCCAUUACGAGGGUUCUUGGGAAUAGCAGGAGGCUUUUUUUCCUGUUACAGGAAAGGCCAUUGCUGCUCUGGAGCUGUGUGUGUGUGUGAUGACUAAAGCAAAGAAGCAGCCCUACAGUGGCACUCCUGGGUCUGGUGCACCACUCCUCAGGAGCAUCUCAGAUUCUGCCUGAUCAAUGCAGGAGUCCUGUACCUCUACUUCAGCAAUUACCUACAGAUUGAUGAGGAAGAAUAUGGUGGCACGUGGGAGCUCACGAAGGAAGGGUUUAUGACCUCUUUUGCCUUGUUCAUGGUCAUUUGGAUCAUCUUUUACACUGCCAUCCAUUAUGACUGAUGGUGUACAGCUCCCAAGUGCUCCCUAUCCAGUCCAAAGGACCCUCUUGAUUACAGCACAGGAACUUGAUCGUUGGGGAACCCCAGCCCCUUGGAACUUGGAAGACCCGUGUUUCCUGGACCGCGAAUCAGUGUGUUGGGCAUCAGUGUUUUCUGCAAGGGUUGUGACCUGAAACUUUUUAAAAACCACCCACCUUUGGGGAAGCAUUUCUGAAUUUAUCCAUCACCAACCAUUUCUUCUUGGAUACCAUCAAGUAACAGCUAUUAUUUGCCAAGUGGAGCUGUCAUUUAAUUUGAUGCACCUCUGGAUUCAGAUGAAACAUUAAAUUGUCUUCCUCGAUUCUCCAUCGGGUGUAGAGUUUUUAAACUAUCAAUGGCAUUUCAAGUCUUCUGAAACAGCAUGGCUGUAUGUGCGUGGUCCAUAGCACAGUACAUGCAGCAUCUAAUAAGAGUUUCCAUUGUAGAAUGUUUUCACAUACUUGAAUAAAUCAAAUCUUUAAUUGAGAA